UCCCUGGUGGUCUAGCAGUUAGGAUUCAGUGCUUUCACUGCUGUGGCCUGGGUUCAAUCCCUGGCCUGAGAA
rnacentral:tRNA from 1 species